UACGUAGGUGGCAAGCGUUAUCCGGAUUUACUGGGUGUAAAGGGCGAGUAGGCGGGAUUGCAAGUCAGAUGUGAAAACUAUGGGCUCAACCCAUAGACUGCAUUUGAAACUGUAGUUCUUGAGUGAUGGAGAGGUAGGCGGAAUUCCCGGUGUAGCGGUGGAAUGCGUAGAUAUCGGGAGGAACACCAGUGGCGAAGGCGGCCUGCUGGACAUUAACUGACGCUGAGGCGCGAAAGCGUGGGGAGCAAACAGG
rnacentral:rRNA from 1 species